CCUACGGGAGGCAGCAGUAGGGAAUCUUCCACAAUGGGCGAAAGCCUGAUGGAGCAACGCCGCGUGAGUGAAGACGGUCUUCGGAUCGUAAAACCCUGUUGUUAGAGAAGAAAGUUCGUGAGAGUAACUGUUCACGUUUCGACGGUAUCUAACCAGAACGCCUCGGCUAACUACGUGAGAGCAGCCGCGGUAAUACGUAGGAGGCAAGCGGUAUCCGGAUUUAUUGGGCGUAAAGGGAACGUAGAAGGUCUGUUAAGUCUGAUGUGAAAGCUUUCGGCUCAACCGGAGUAGUGCAUUGGAAACUGGGAGACUUGAGUGCAGAAGAGGGGAGUGGAACUCGAUGUGUAGCGGUGAAAUGCGUAGAUAUAUGGAAGAACACCGAUGACGAAAGCGGCUCUCUGAUCUGUAACUGACGCUGAGGUUCGAAAGCGUGGGUAGCAAACAGGAUUAGAUACCCUAGUAGUC
rnacentral:rRNA from 1 species